rnacentral:rRNA from 1 species
GACGAACGCUGGCGGCGUGCUUAACACAUGCAAGUCGAGCGGUAAGGCCCUUUCGGGGGGUACACGAGCGGCGAACGGGUGAGUAACACGUGGGUGACCUGCCCUCAGCUCUGGGAUAAGCCCGGGAAAACUGGGUCUAAUACCGGAUAUGACUUCAUGACGCAUGUUGUGGAGUGGAAAGCCUUGUGCGGCUGAGGAUGGGCCCGCGGCCUAUCAGCUUUGUUGGUGGGGNGAUGGCCUACCAAGGCGACGACGGGUAGCCGGCCUGAGAGGGGCGACCGGCCACACUGGGACUGAGAUACGGCCCAGACUCCUACGGGAGGCAGCAGUGGGGAAUCUUGCGCAAUGGGCGAAAGCCUGACGCAGCGACGCCGCGUGAGGGAU